UACGGAGGGUGCGAGCGUUGUCCGGAAUCACUGGGCGUAAAGGGCGCGUAGGCGGCAGGCCAAGCGUGCGGUGAAAGUCCGGGGCUCAACCCCGGAUCUGCCGUGCGGACUGGUUUGCUAGAGCACUGUAGAGGCGAGUGGAAUUCCGGGUGUAGCGGUGGAAUGCGUAGAGAUCCGGAAGAACACCGGUGGCGAAGGCGGCUCGCUGGGCAGUGGCUGACGCUGAGGCGCGAAAGCGUGGGGAGCGAACAGG
rnacentral:rRNA from 1 species